AACGAACGCUGGCGGCAUGCCUAACACAUGCAAGUCGAACGAGACCUUCGGGUCUAGUGGCGCACGGGUGCGUAACGCGUGGGAACCUGCCCUUAGGUUCGGAAUAACUCCCCGAAAGGGGUGCUAAUACCGGAUAAUGUCUUCGGACCAAAGAUUUAUCGCCUUUGGAUGGGCCCGCGUUGGAUUGGCUAGUUGGUAGGGUAAAAGCCUACCAAGGCGACGAUCCAUAGCUGGUCUGAGAGGAUGAUCAGCCACACUGGGACUGAGACACGGCCCAGACUCCUACGGGAGGCAGCAGUUGGGAAUAUUGGACAAUGGGCGAAAGCCUGAUCCAGCAAUGCCGCGUGAGUGAUGAAGGCCUUGGGGUUGUAAAGCUCUUUUACCCGUGAUGAUAAUGACAGUACCGGGAGAAUAAGCUCCGGCUAACUCCGUG
rnacentral:rRNA from 1 species